UUAAAGCCUGCAGAAUUCCACAGAAACUUAUGGAAGAUAAGGAAAUCUCUCUAUUAAUAAAGAACAUACCUCAAAGAAAAAUAUGCCUCAACUUGAGCUUUGAUUGCAGGGAUUUCAAGGUGAUCCAGGAUGAGUAACUGAGAUGGCUGUGAGGGGAGAAGCAUGAAGGGACAACGAAACCUGGUCAGUGGAUACAUUCCAAAGCAGAGAAUCCCUUGUGGAACAAGCUAGUUACAGAAAUACAAGGCAAGUACAGCUGGAGCCAGACUUCCCGUGGACAGAUGUUCUAAUACUUUUGAAGAAAAAAUUAAAUAAGGAGGUGCAGGAAGAAACAGAAG